GAUGAACGCUGGCGGCGUGCUUAACACAUGCAAGUCGAACGGGGAAACCUAUUAUUGAAACUUCGGUCGAUUUAAUUUGUUUCUAGUGGCGGACGGGUGAGUAACGCGUGGGUAACCUGCCCUAUACAGGGGGAUAACAACCAGAAAUGGUUGCUAAUACCGCAUAAGCGCACGGGACCGCAUGGUCCAGUGUGAAAAACUCCGGUGGUAUAGGAUGGACCCGCGUUGGAUUAGCUGGUUGGUGGGGUAACGGCCCCACCAAGGCGACGAUCCAUAGCCGGCCUGAGAGGGUGAACGGCCACAUUGGGACUGAGACACGGCCCAGACUCCUACGGGAGGCAGCAGUGGGGAAUAUUGCACAAUGGGGGGAAACCCUGAUGCAGCGACGCCGCGUGAGUGAUGAAGUAUUUCGGUAUGUAAAACUCUAUCAGCAGGGAAGAUAAUGACGGUACCUGACUAAGAAGCACCGGCUAAAUACGUG
rnacentral:rRNA from 1 species